UCAAGCUACUAAGGGUGCACGGGGGAUGCCUAGGCGCCAAGAGACGACAAAGGACGUGGCAAGCUGCGAUAAGCCUCGGGGAGCCGCAACCAGGCGUUGAUCCGGGGAUUUCCGAUGGGACAACCUGCUGCGGGUCAUGCUGCAGCAUCCCCGCCUGAAUUCAAUAGGGCGGGUAGAGGGCAAAUGGGGUGAAGUAACACAUUCUAGUAGCCCCGAGAAAGAAAAACAAAAGUGACUUCCUGAGUAGCGGCGAGCGAAAGGGAACCAGCCUAAACCGAUUGCAUGUCAAGUCCGUGUGCGUUGUGCAAUCGGGGUCGCGGGAGCCUCUUGGAGCGGAUACGGACGCUCCAGGGAGUUACAAAACAUCCAUCUAGCCGAACGACCUGGAACGGUCGACCAUAGACGGUGACAGUCCGGUAGGCGAAAGGUGAGAUGUCUCCUUGAGGAUUUCCCAAGUAAUGCCGGACACGCGGAACCCGGCAUGAAUCCGGGGGGACCACCCCCUAAGGCUAAGUACUACUUGGCGACCGAUAGCGAAACAGUAGCGCGAGCGAAAGGUGAAAAGAACCCCUGCAAGGGAAGUGAAAAGUUCCUGAAACCGUGCACUUACACAGCGGUCGGAGGGCUAUGCCGGGGGCGCAAGCGCCCGGAAUGCCUGACGGCGUGCCUAUCGGUUAAUGACCCUGCGAGUCAGUCUGUACAGCUUGGUUAAGCCCCUCUGGGGCGGAGCCAUAGUGAAAGCGAGCGUUAAAAGCGCGACACUGUUGUGCGGACUGGACGCGAAGCCGCGGCGAUCUAACCAUGGCCAGGUCGAAGUGGGUGUAGCAACUCAUGGAGGACCGAACUCUUCUCCGUUGAAAAGGGGUGAGAUGAGCUGUGGUUAGGAGUGAAAGGCUAAUCAAGCCCGGUGAUAUCUCGUUCUCCCCGAAAUAACUUUAGGGUUAGCCUCGAGCCAAUGGACGAUGGGGGUAGAGUUACCGGAUGGAUUUUGAGGGGCUUACCGGCUCGCUCAGUCCAACCAAACUCCGAAUACCAUCGCACCUUAACUCGGGAGUCGGUCCGUGGGGGCUAAGCUUCACGGGCGAGAGGGAAACAGCCCAGACCGCCAGCUAAGGUCCCGAAGACGAUCUAAGUUCGCAAGGAAGUGGAGACGCUAAGACAGCCAGGAUGUUGGCUUAGAAGCAGCCACCAUUUAAAAAGUGCGUAACAGCUUACUGGCCGAGCGUUUCUGCGCCGAAAAUUAACGGGAAUCAAGAUCGUCGCCGAAGCUGCGGGAGGCAGGGGACUGCGCGUCCUCUGUCUCGGUAGGGGAGCGUUCCACGCGAGGAUGAAGGGAGACCGUGAGGACUCUUGGACGACGUGGAAGUGAUGAUGCAGGGACGAGUAGCGAUAAUGGGUAGUGAGAAUCACCCACACCGUAAGCCCAAGGUUUCCUGGGGCAGGUAAGUCCGCCCAGGGUUAGUCGGGACCUAAGGCGAGGCCGAAAGGCGUAGCUGAUGGACAACGGGUUAAUAUUCCCGUACCGCGGGCUGGGCGAUCAAGACGCUGAAGGGGCGUGGGGAAGGCUAAUGCUGGUGGAGCGGCUGGAGUUCCGCCCAUCGAAUCCGUAGGGGGAUCCGCCAGGCAAAUCCGGUGGGUCAUCAACCCUGAGGGAGGAAGUAGGGGUCUAACCGACCCUAUGCAGCUGAUGCCCGGCCUCCGAGAAAAACCUCGUCAGCGAGUCCAGAACGCGCCCGUACCAAAACCAACACACGUGGGCGGGGUGAGAAUCCUAAGGUGCUCGGAUGAGCCCCCGUUAAGGAACUCGGCAACUUAGCUCCGUAACUUCGGGAGAAGGAGCGCCCGAACCGGUUAGUCUCCUCGCGGGACGAAGCCGGAGCGGGCCGCAGUGAAAGGGGUCAGGCGACUGCUUACCAAAAGCACAGGACUGUGCGAAGCCUUUAGGGCGACGUAUACAGUCUGACGCCUGCUCGGUGCUGGAAGGUUAAGGCAAGGGGUCAGGAGGGGCAACCCUCCGAAGCUCUGAACCGAAGCCCCAGUUAACGGCGGCCGUAACUAUGACGGUCCUAAGGUAGCGAAGUUCCUUGUCAGGUAAGUUCUGACGCGCAUGAAUGGCGUAACGACUUGACCGGUGUCUCAACGGGGAGUCCGGCGAAACUGUAGCAGUGGUGAAGAUGCCACUUACCCGCGGCAAGACGGAAAGACCCCGUGGACCUUUACUGUACUCUAAUAUUGGGUCCCUGUGCGGGUUGUGUAGGAUAGGUGGGAGCCGAUGAGGUCCGGGCGCCAGCUCGGGCGGAGGCGCCGUUGAAAUACCACCCUUCUCGUACGGUGAUUCUAACCGGAAUUCCUGUGAAGCCAGGGCCGGGACAGUGUUAGACGGGCAGUUUAACUGGGGCGGUUUCCUCCUAAAAGGUAACGGAGGAGUUCAAAGGUUCCCUCAGCGCGGUUGGCAAUCGCGCGUCGAGUGCAAGGGCACAAGGGAGCUUGACUGCGAGUCCGAUGGGACAAGCAGAUGCGAAAGCAGGACCUAGUGAUCCGGCGGUUCUGAGUGGAAGGGCCGUCGCUCAACAGAUAAAAGGUACCCCGGGGAUAACAGGCUGAUCUCCCCCAAGAGUUCACAUCGAC
rnacentral:rRNA from 1 species